AUCAUUUCUAGUUUCUGAUAACAUUCAGCAAGAAAGCACCACAUUAAACAGUGAUCAUAAGGGUUUCUGCAGAUCAUAUUUGAUUGUAUGUUGGAUCGCUAAAGGUGACAACUUUCAAAAUGUGGUUUGGAACAGGGUGAUAUUGUUGUUUUAUUUCCCUUCUUUCAUUGGAGAACAGUAAAUAAGUUAGAGGCAGCAUGGAGUACAAUAAUUUAAAAAAAUGAUUUACAGGUAAAGCAAACUUUACAUACGCCAGUUUUUACAAGUCUUAUUCUCUCCUAUGUCUGGGCUGUUAAAUACUUCCUGAAAAUCACAUUGUGGUGAUUGAUGCUUCCACAAGGCAUGUGACCCAGUCUCAGAUGGAUCUUCAGCACUUGCUAGUUAUAGCAGUCUUUGGAUCUCAUAUCCUACAAUUGAUAUUUAAAAUCCUCAGGACAUUCCUCAAGCUCUUUACUCCACCCUGACUCCUUCUUUGGUAUCGCUUUCUUACUCUGCCAUAACAAUUGAAACCCUUUGAAAUAAAAUAUAUCAAUUUCCUAUCCACAUUCAAAAGUAUGUAAAUCUUUACUACAUUUUCCCCUUCAUGUUCUUCAUCCAGAGGCGUGAGUAUCUCUCCUCUCUAAAACAGGCAUACCUUGUCUCGUUUCAUUGCAUUUCACAGUACUGCGUUUUUACCAAUUGAAAGUUUAUUGCAAUCCUGCAGCGAGCAGGCAUAUUUCCAACAACAUUGGCUUACUUCAUGUCUCUGUAUUACAUUUUGGUAAUUUCACAAUAUUUAAAACUUUUUCAUUAUUAUUAUAUUUGGUAUGUUAAUCUGUAGUCAGUGGUCUUUGAUAUUACUAUUGAAACUGUUUUCAGGCACCAUGAACCAGGCCCAUAUACGAGAGCAAACCUAAUCAAUACAUGUGUGUGUUCUGACUGCCCACAUUCCUUCACCUCGAGCCUCCCUAUUCUCUGAGACACAGCAAUAUUGAAAUUAGGCCAGUCAAUAAGCUUACAAUGGCUUCUGGGUGUUCAAAUGAAAGGAAGAGUCAGACAUCUCUUACUUUCACACAAAAGCUAGAAAUGAUUAAGCUUAACGAGGAAGGAAUGUCAAAAGCUGAAAUAGGCUGAAGGCUAGGUUUCUUGUGCUAACCAGUUAGCCAAGUUGUGCAUGCAGAGGAAAAGUUCUUAUGAUUAGAAGUGCAGGUCUAGUGAGCACAUGAAUGAUAAGAGAACAAAACAGCCUUAUUGCUGAUUUGAAGAAAGUUUUAGUGGUCUGAAUAGAAGAUCAGAUCAGCCACAUUAUUCACUUAAGCCAGAGCCUAAUCCAGAGCAAGGCUCUUACUCUCUUCAAUUCUGUGAAGACUGAAAGAGGGGAGGAAGCUGCAGAAGAAAAGUUUAAAACUAGCUCAGGUUGGUUCAUGAGGUUUAGAGUAGAGAAAAGAGGAAAUGGCUUCACAGCUGACACUUUUGUUGGGGACUAAUGUGGCUGGUGACUUUCAGUUGAAGCCAAUGCACAUUUGCCAUUCUGAGAAUCCUACAGCCCUUAAGAAUUAUGCUAAAUCUAAUCUGUCUGUGCUCUGUAAAGGGAACAACAAAGACUGGAUGACAGCACAUCUGUUGACAACAUGGUUUACUGAAUAUUUUAAGCCCUCUGUUGAGAACUACUUAUCAGAAAAAAAAAAAAAAAAAGAUUCCUUUCAAAAUACUACUGCUCCUUGACAACACACCUGGUCACCCAAGAACUCUGAUGGAGAUGUACGUGAGAUUAAUGUUGUUCUCAUGCCUGCUAUCACAACAUCCAUUCUGAGGCCCUUGAAUCAAGGAGCAAUUUCAACUUUCAAAUUUUAUUAUUUAAGAACUGCAUUUCAUAAGGCUCUAGGUGUCACAGAUGGUGAUUUCUCUCAUGUCUCUUGGCAAAGCAAAUUGAAAAAUCUAUGAAAAGGAUUCACUAUUCUGGAUACCAUUAAGAACUUUCAUGAUUCAUGGGAAGAUGCAAAAUAUCAUCAACAUGGGCAGGAGAUGGGAAGAAGUUGAUUCUAACCCUCAGGGAUGACUUUGUGAGGUUCAAGACUUCAGUGGAGGAAGUAGCUGUAGAUGUGGUGGAACUAGAAAGAGAAAUAGAAUUAGAAGUGGAGCCUGAGGAUUUCACUGAAUUCUUCUAAUCUCAUGAUAAAUCUUGAGCAGAUGAAGAGUUGCUUCUUAUGGAUGAGCAAAUAAAGUAGUUUCUUGAGGUGGAAUAUACUCCUGGUGAAGAUGCUGUGAAGAUUGUUGAAAUGACAACAAAGGAUUUAGAAUAUUACAUCAACUUAGCUGAUAAAGCAUGGCUAGGUUUGAGAGGAUUGGCUCCCAUUUUGAAAGAAGUUCAGUGAAAUUUCCACAGAUGCCCCCCCCACCGCCAACCUUCAGCAACCAUUACCCUGAUCAGUCAACAGCCAUCAACAUGGAGGCAAGACCCUCCACUAACAAAAAGACUAUGACUCGCUGAAAGCUCAUAUGAUGGUUAGCAUUUUUUAGCAAUAAAGUAUUUUUAAAUUAA